rnacentral:rRNA from 1 species
AAAUGGAAUGAAGAUUUAUCUGAUUGAAGUUUUGUAACAAUGGCUUUAGUGGCGGACUGGUGAGUAACACGUAAGCAAUCUACCUAUUAGAGGGGAAUAACAAUGAGAAAUCAUUGCUAAUACCGCAUAAGCUUGUAGUACCGCAUGGUACAGCAAGAAAAGGAGCAAUCCGCUAAUAGAUGAGCUUGCGGCUGAUUAGCUAGUUGGUGUGGUAACGGCAUACCAAGGCAACGAUCAGUAGCCGGGCUGAGAGGCUCUUCGGCCACAUUGGGACUGAGAUACGGCCCAGACUCCUACGGGAGGCAGCAGUCGGGAAUUUUGCGCAAUGGAGGAAACUCUGACGCAGUGACGCCGCGUAUAGGAAGAAGGUUUUCGGAUUGUAAACUAUUUUAGUCAGGGAAGAAAAAUGACAGUACCUGAAGAAUAAGCUCCGGCUAACUACGUGCCAGCAGCCGCGGUAAUACGUAGGGAGCAAGCGUUAUCCGGAUUUAUUGGGUGUAAAGGGUGCGUAGACGGGAAGACAAGUUGGUUGUGAAAGCCCUCGGCUCAACUGAGGAACUGCAACCAAAACUAUCAUUCUUGAGUGCGGGAGAGGAAAGUGGAAUUCCUAGUGUAGCGGUGAAAUGCGUAGAUAUUAGGAGGAACACCAGUGGCGAAGGCGACUUU